AAGAGAUAUCAUACCAUGUCAAAUCUUGUCAAAUCUUGUCAUAUCUUGGAAGCUAAGCAGGGCUGGGCCUGGUUAGUACUUGGAUGGGAGACUGUGGGGAAUACCAGGUGCCACUGU
rnacentral:rRNA from 1 species